AAUGAAUCGCAUGCACUGGAAUUCUAGAGACAGAUUCAAAGGAACGAGAGAUACUUGAGAGAAAGGAUAGAAAAAUAUGAAUUAAAAGAAGAUUAAAGAAGUCAGAAAUGCUAAAUGAGAACAGAUCAAGUAUAUGCCUUUGGCCCAAACUUGAGAACUCUGAGGGAACAGAAAGAUGAAGCAGAAAAAGGAGGAUGCAAGUGAUCUAGCAAUUACACCAUGGAGAUGCCUCAGAGCACUGAGAGGGUUGUUUACAUGUAUUACAAAUAAUGAACCCUUACCCUGAGUGCUGGAGCUACCAGUCAGCCUACAGCAUCUGCACUAGCCCAGAGGGAUUUCAGAGGAACACACCAAUUCAUUUCCUUCUGUCACAAAGCACCCAGCAAUGGAAGCUCUGGAUUCAAACAGAUGAAAGGGUAAGAAACAUAUUAUCACCAUCCCAAACAUGGAAUUCUUCUGAAAAAUACGACUUAUAGUAAACACUUCCCCAAGACCUUGUGUGAACUAUUUAACAAGAGCACAAAGACAGGUGGCUUUGCCAGCCAGGCAAGAUCCUAAGAUGUAGAUGUUUAUGUUUUUUUAACCUCCAAUUAUCUCUGUGGAGUAGAGGAGACUGCUUUUAAGGCUGCAGAGAGCAGGAAGUGCUAAGUAUAUUCAUAAAGGUGUGGCUUAGCUCCCUAGCAAUUCCUUGGCAACAGAGACUGCUAGCCUUAAGUAAAACAAACAGGCUUUGUGGAAAUCAAAAGUUGAGAAUGCAAGCUAUUCACAUCUCUUUGAUUAAAGCAGCCAAUCCUUGAUUGAAGGUGGGGGGCUCCACCUUGUUCCCCUAAACCAAACAGAUUCACAAGGUUUGGAUAGAUAGAUCCUGGGCUUUGAUAACAGUGAAAAAUAUAAAAUGUGUUUUAAAGUCAGUUUUGCUAGAUGUGUUGUGAGAAAAGGAGAAGUUUACACAUUAAUUUAUCAAAAAUUUGAUGUUUUAUACAUCCUCCGAUAGAGAUUCCUGCAUAGAUAAAAUGUAAUCCAGAGUUUUGAAGAGCCAGGAAGACCUGAUUUCACAAUCUUGCAUCUUAUGUCUAUAUAAAGUAGGUGUGAAAUGCUGCCCAUGGUGACUCAGUGUGACAGUGACAGCUGGCCUGACUGCCCUCAGUGAGGCUGCAGGUGUUCAGAGUACCUGGCCCGAGGAAAGCUGGAUGUGCCCUAAAGCCAUGGAUUCGUGCCCUAAAGCCAUGGAUUCAUGACCCAGCAGGCAGAAGUGCCCCCUUGGGUGCCCAUUCCCACCAGUCCUGUUUUUUCCAGGAUAACUGAACUGAAUGAGGGAAUGACUCCACUUUAGAGAAUAGAGGAUGGACUCCUAAAACUCCCUCCUCACACAAAGCAGAGCACUUUAGUCUGGAAAAGAGUAGUUAAAAGUUAGUUAUGCCCUAGACAUCUCCCUCACCCAGAGCCAGAGCGUUAUCAUCGCUAUCAUGGCUGCAUUCACCCAAGUCAGUGCAGAGCCGCUCCCAGAAUGUGCCAGGUAACCUCCUCUCCUGUGCCCCCGGGCUCUCUUUUUCCUCACCACCAGGAAUUUCAGUGUAGAAAAGGCAAAAUCUUAAUGUAUGUUAACCGUGUGACACCAUGGCUGAAAUAAUUGUUUGAGGAAAACAAGGAAUGACCGAACGCAAGGUGACAUUUCCUGUCAAACAAGGGUGUGCCACGUUAGCAGAGGGUUGUGAAAAGGAGGUGAGGUAGUACUGGCACUUAUGAAACAGCUCUGUCAGGGUAUAUUAUCACAACUCCAACUCGCUGGGAAGGGAAUUGCACCUGCUUGCAUGUGCUUAGUUAUUAUCUGUGCUUAUAAAGCAAUUCUAUAGCUGUUAAGUGAUAAAAUGCACUGAAUUGCAUCAUAUGGCGUCUUCAAUUUAAAAUUUCUACAGUGUGCCAAAAGGAAUAAUCUAGGUAUACCUGUUUUCUCUCUGUCUGAGUACAUUUACUGACUGUGCAUUAUGUUUCUCUGAGAAUAUUUCUUCUCAGGAAACCAUAUCACUCUCCUGCAUCAGCCAGAUGUAUCUAUGAGGACAUUACUUCUGUCUCCCUUCCACAGUGUGUAGGAUCCAGCAUCAGGCCAAAGCAAGAGUUUCAGUUAUGAGACAUAAUCCUUGUAUGGACCUCUCUAAAUAUGCCUGCCAGGAUUAAAGCUAAAGUAUUUCCAGGAUUGCUUCUCAGGCAGCUCCGUGAGUUGCAGAGACAACAGCUGAGAGGUGUUUAACUGUCUUGUGAUGUCCAGUGAGAUGCACCUGUGCAAGGUUUCCUGCAUGGCCUC